GACGUAGGGUCCGAGCGUUGUCCGGAGUUACUGGGCGUAAAGCGCGCGCAGGCGGAUCGUCGCAUCGCUGGUGAAAGCCCCCCGCUCAACGGGGGAGGGUCCAGCGAGAUGGGCGAUCUGGAGGCAGGGAGAGGCCAGUGGAAUUCCGGGUGUAGUGGUGAAAUGCGUAGAGAUCCGGAGGAACACCAGUGGCGAAGGCGGCUGGCUGGACCUGACCUGACGCUGAGGCGGCGAAGGCGUGGGGAGCGAACGGG
rnacentral:rRNA from 1 species